rnacentral:rRNA from 1 species
UACGUAGGGUGCAAGCGUUAAUCGGAAUUACUGGGCGUAAAGCGUGCGCAGGCGGUUUUGUAAGUCUGUCGUGAAAGCCCCGGGCUCAACCUGGGAAUUGCGAUGGAGACUGCAAGGCUUGAAUCUGGCAGAGGGGGGUAGAAUUCCACGUGUAGCAGUGAAAUGCGUAGAGAUGUGGAGGAACACCGAUGGCGAAGGCAGCCCCCUGGGUCAAGAUUGACGCUCAUGCACGAAAGCGUGGGGAGCAAAAGGG